ACACGAUCACCACAGGUUUCUGAAGGAACCGGACGUUUUGAUGUGUGUUUUCAGAGCCCUGGAAGCGAGUGAUGUUUCCCUUUUCGGAUCUGCUGAGCCUACAGCUCGCUGCCAGCCCAGCCGCAGGAGGAGCUGGCUUUCAUUCAAGACUUUGGGGUCUUCCAGGAGAAAACAAGUGCCAGAAAGGCCGGGGAUGUCCCCAGCAGGGGCAGUGGCCUCACUGGGGGGAUCGGUUCCUCCACCACGGUGCCCUCAGGAACAGCCCCACCACUGCAGCCGUCUCUGAGCCAGCCGGGGCGAGCGGUGCUGCAGGGGCAGCUCGUGCACGACCACCUGUAUCAUCAAAACCUGUGGCUCUUUGGACUUUCCAGCUUCCCCGUGCUCCUUGCUCCUGUUUAUGCUGCACGUUGCGCUUGGCCAAGAAGAGCAAGCCGGGGCCGGCAGCGAGGGAGCUCGCGAAGGCAGCAGACGGCUGGUGGCAGCAAAGCCGUUCGGGCGCAGGCGAUGCUCGGCUGGGAGAGCUGCGGGGCAGGAGCAGCGUCCCGGCUGCUGCGGGGAGAGCCGGGCUGCUCUGGGUUUGCUCCCUGCCGAGCACGGGGCUUUACAGCCGCCUGGAAAAGGCAGGUGGUGAACCACGUCGCUGGCCUGCCCCAGGGCUUGAGGCUGCUGCAGCUGCUGCUCUCUGGAUUUUCUGCCCUGUGGACGAGGA